rnacentral:rRNA from 1 species
AGAACGAACGCUGGCGGCAGGCUUAACACAUGCAAGUCGAGCGCCCCGCAAGGGGAGCGGCAGACGGGUGAGUAACGCGUGGGAAUCUACCUAGCUCUUCGGAAUAGCUCCGGGAAACUGGAAUUAAUACCGAGUACGCCCUACGGGGGAAAGAUUUAUCGGAGUUAGAUGAGCCCGCGUUGGAUUAGCUAGUUGGUGGGGUAAUGGCCUACCAAGGCGACGAUCCAUAGCUGGUCUGAGAGGAUGAUCAGCCACACUGGGACUGAGACACGGCCCAGACUCCUACGGGAGGCAGCAGUGGGAAUAUUGGACAAUGGGCGCAAGCCUGAUCCAGCCAUGCCGCGUGAGUGAUGAAGGCCCUAGGGUUGUAAAGCUCUUUCAGUGGGGAAGAUAAUGACGGUACCCACAAGAAGAAGCCCCGGACUAACUUCGUGACCAGCAGCCGAC